AUCGGGAAGCGGGCGGCUCUUGCUCUGCUCCUGGCUACGCCCACGCUCUCACUGCCCUUCUCCGCCCACGCCAAGACCAAGACCAUAAAUCCUUAUGACGAAAGACGCUUGCUUCAGCAGAACAAGAAGAUCCAGGAAGCCAACCGUGCACCUGAUGAUUUCCCAAACUUUAUCAGAGAAGGUUUUCAGGUCAAAGUAGUGACACCCGAUAACUAUAUAACUCGGGACUCUGGAUUAAUAUAUGAGGACGUCAAAGUUGGUACGGGCGAUUGCCCAAAGGAUGGUCAGCAGGUUAUAUUUCACUAUGUGGGCUACAACGAAUCAGGACGAAGGAUAGAUAACACCUACAUCCAGGGUUCGCCUGCCAAAAUUCGGCUAGGCAACAAAUCAUUAGUUCCAGGUUUUGAAGAGGGGAUUCGGGACAUGAAGCCAGGGGGGAAGAGAAGACUAAUUAUACCUCCUGAGCUUGGUCCUCCUGUUGGGCCAUCGACGUUCUUUAGCGCGAAACAGUUUGAAGUAUUCGACGUCGAGCUACUCUCGGUGCAGGACUGCCAGCGGAGGACAAUAGCUUUCUACUCUGAUGUUGUCUGCACUUGA
rnacentral:rRNA from 1 species